rnacentral:rRNA from 1 species
CUUGUACACACCGCCCGUCACACCAUGGGAGUUGGCUUUACCUGAAGACGGUGCGCUAACCCGCAGUGGAGGCAGCCGGCCACGGUAGGGUCAGCGACUGGGGUGAAGUCGUAACAAGGUAGCCGUAGGGGAACCUGCGGCUGGAUCACCUCCUUU